UCUCCAAUUUUCUUUUCCUUCUACCCCUUUCUCCUCUCAUCUUUUCCUUUUUUUUUUCAAACUUUCUGUAACCAGCACAUAAAAAAAAAUAUUAUCUUUAGAGAUAAUUUUGAACAUAAAUCUAGAAAAAAUAAUUGAAUCGAAGUAAAAAUCUUGGAGAAGAAGACUUCAAAUUUGAUGCCCAUGGCGAAAAAUUGGAUGAUUUCUCUGCCACUUAUGCUGCAGUAAUAAGCAGCAGAUUGAGUAUGGUAAAUUUUGUUCUUGAUCCCUGUCGUGCACUGAGUAAUGCGAGCGAACUACACUUCAAUAUCCUCGGCUACAAGACGGAAAGGAAUGCUUUCACCGACGAAUGCUUCUUGAUUUAGUGAAAUUUUUGGGGUACGAAAAUGGAUGCUUUCUAAUUGGGGUUUGUUUCAGUAGACGAGAAAGAGAUGAAAGAUAAGAGAAGUAAGAUCAGUGGAGAGGAGUUGGAGGCGACGUGUCGUCGGUGACCCUUUUCUAUCUACUCCGUUAGUGGUGUAGCAGUUGCCUCAAACAGUGAAAGUUUUCUUUUGUCGUUUCUUAGUCAAUGGAUAGAGGAGAACAAGUAAAAAGUUACUGAUGUGGUUAUAUUUGGCAAGGUGUGCUUUUCAGGUGAGAUUUCCGGCGAGGGAUUUUGGGAUGUUCCUGCUAAUGGUUGAUUUUCAGAG
rnacentral:lncRNA from 1 species